GCCUGGGUGGCUCAGUCGGUUGAGUGUCUGACUUUGGCUCAGGUCAUGUUCUCCCAGUUUGUGAGUUCGAGCCUCAUAUAGGGCU
rnacentral:tRNA from 1 species